GCCACCAGUCAUAUCACCCUGCACCUGACAACCCAGUGAAGCUAAGCAGGUGUGAGCCUGGUCAGUACAUGGAUGAGAGACCUCCUGGGAAAAAACUGUUUGCUGCUGGAA
rnacentral:rRNA from 1 species